AGAGAAUAGAUACCCCGGUAGUCCACGCCCUAAACGAUGGAUACUCGACGUGUGCGAUAUGACUGUACGCGUCUGAGCGAAAGCAUUAAGUAUCCCACCUGGGAAGUACGACCGCAAGGUUGAAACUCAAAGGAAUUGGCGGGGUCGCACAAGCGGUGGAGCAUGUGGUUUAAUUCGAUGAUACGCGAGGAACCUUACCUGGGCUAGAAUGCCAGUGGACCGUGGGUGAAAGCUCACUUUGUAGCAAUACACCGCUGGUAAGGUGCUGCAUGGCCGUCGUCAGCUCGUGCCGUGAGGUGUUGGGUUAA
rnacentral:rRNA from 1 species